rnacentral:rRNA from 1 species
UACGUAGGGCGCAAGCGUUAUCCGGAAUUAUUGGGCGUAAAGAGCUCGUAGGCGGUUUGUCGCGUCUGCCGUGAAAGUCCGGGGCUCAACUCCGGAUCUGCGGUGGGUACGGGCAGACUAGAGUGAUGUAGGGGAGACUGGAAUUCCUGGUGUAGCGGUGAAAUGCGCAGAUAUCAGGAGGAACACCGAUGGCGAAGGCAGGUCUCUGGGCAUUAACUGACGCUGAGGAGCGAAAGCUGGGGAGCGAACGG